rnacentral:rRNA from 1 species
AGCAGCCGCGGUAAUUCCAGCUCCAAUAGCGUAUAUUAAAGUUGUUGCAGUUAAAAAGCUCGUAGUUGAAUUUCGGGAUUAAUAUGCUGGUCGUGCCAUUGGUACGUACUAGUAUUAUUGAUUUCUCCCUUCUGAUAAAUCAUGAUGUCAUUAAUUUGAUGUCAUGGGGAAUCAGGACUGUUACUUUGAAAAAUUAGAGUGUUUAAAGCAGGCUCGCGCUUGAAUACAUUAGCAUGGAAUAAUGAAAUAGGACGUUUGAUUCUAUUUUGUUGGUUUCUAGGAUUGACGUAAUGAUUAAUAGGGAUAGUUGGGGGCAUUAGUAUUCAAUUGUCAGAGGUGAAAUUCUUGGAUUUAUUGAAGACUAACUACUGCGAAAGCAUUUGCCAAGGAUGUUUUCAUUAAUCAAGAACGAAAGUUAGGGGAUCGAAGACGAUCAGAUACCGUCGUAGUCUUAACCAUAAACUAUGCCGACUAGGGAUCGGAUGAUGUUAAUUUUUAAUGACU